rnacentral:rRNA from 1 species
UACGAAGGGGUCUAGCGUUGCUCGGAAUCACUGGGCGUAAAGGGUGCGUAGGCGGGUCUUUAAGUCAGGGGUGAAAUCCUGGAGCUCAACUCCAGAACUGCCUUUGAUACUGAAGAUCUUGAGUUCGGGAGAGGUGAGUGGAACUGCGAGUGUAGAGGUGAAAUUCGUAGAUAUUCGCAAGAACACCAGUGGCGAAGGCGGCUCACUGGCCCGAUACUGACGCUGAGGCACGAAAGCGUGGGGAGCAAACAGG